CUGAGAGCUGUUGAGGAAGAGCUUUGUGUGUGUCUUCCUACCAUUCCUGCCAGGAUUUCCAUUUUGUGUUCAUCGAAACAGGCCCAGGUUUCACACUAAAGUCGCGGUGACAGGGGAAGUGCUUUGAUGUUUGCCUCAUAGAGAACCCACGGCCUGGGGAAGUCACACAGGAACAUCACAAUGGAGGACAAGCUCUCUCUCCCCACACACUGUAAAGAGAAAGGCCUCCUUGACACAGGUCGCGGGAAAAACUAAAUGAAAUGACUUUUAUCCCAGAGCCCGGGCCACUACUGCAGAUUGUCCAUAUCGUUAGAAGUGGGAGACAUCUGUAGGGACAACAGAAGGGCUGGGAAUUUCAAUGUAGUCAUUAGCAUGCAGUCAAAGCCAGGAGUAGGGAGUGUUUAAAUAUUCUGUUUACAAGUACUGUAUUUAAAACUUGGCGUCAGGAUUCACACCUGGCCGCAGUCAAACUGAAUAUGCCCUGGUAUGCGUGUGUCAGCCUAUGUGUGUUUUUUUAAAGGAAAUUAUCCAGCAGGAAUUAAGGUUACCCUAAUUGUUGCAGGUAUAAGACGGUAACAUUAUUGGGUUAUAUCUCUUCGACAAUAUCUCAAUAAAAGAUUACAAAUAAUUUGUAGAAUGUAGUUUGUGUCGAGUGCAAUUAUGCUUUCCUUGAUUAGUAUGUUUAUGGGUGUAUGCAUAGCUGUGUGUGUGUGUGUGUGUGUGUGUGUGUGUGUGUGUGUGUGUGUGUGUGUGUGUGUGUGUGUGUGUGUGUGUGUGUGUGUGUGUGUGUGUGUGUGUGUGUGUGUGUGUGUGUGUGCGUUAGUUUAG
ensembl:lncRNA